CUGCUGCCUCCCGUAGGAGUUUGGUCCGUGUCUCAGUACCAAUGUGGGGGGUUAACCUCUCAGUCCCCCUAUGUAUCGUCGCCUUGGUGAGCCGUUACCUCACCAACCAGCUAAUACAACGCAUGCCCAUCAUCAACCACCGGAGUUUUCAACCCCAUGCGAUGCCGCAUGAGAUAUUAUGGGGUAUUAGUACCAAUUUCUCAGUGUUAUCCCCCUGUUGAUGGUAGGUUGCAUACGCGUUACGCACCCGUGCG
rnacentral:rRNA from 1 species